GCGCGUAUGGUAUAGUGGCUAUUACGCGGCCUUGCCAAGGCCGAGACACGAGUUCGAUUCUCGUUACGCGCUCCA
rnacentral:tRNA from 1 species